UUUAGAGUCAUCCAAGGAGGAGACUAUCCUUUCUAGAUAGUCAAAGUAUAUAAAUACACUCUAAGU
rnacentral:tRNA from 1 species